UACGGAGGCGGCAAGCGUUGUUCGGAAUUACUGGGCGUAAAGGGCGCGCAGGCGGCUGCUCAAGUCAGGCGUGAAAGGCCUGGGCUCAACCCGGGAAUUGCGCUUGAGACUGGGCUGGCUUGAGUGCGGGAGAGGAUGGUGGAAUUCCCAGUGUAGAGGUGAAAUUCGUAGAUAUUGGGAAGAACACCGGUGGCGAAGGCGGCCAUCUGGACCGCAACUGACGCUGAGGCGCGAAAGCGUGGGGAGCAAACAGG
rnacentral:rRNA from 1 species